ensembl:lncRNA
AUUAAGGAGUGGCAGGCCCAGGUGCUAUUAUGGAGUGGCAGGCCCAGUUGCUAUUUACGAGUGGCAGGCCCAGGUGCUAUGUAGGAGCGGCAGGCCCAGGUGCUAUUUAACAACGGCAGGCCCAGAAGUGGCAAGCCCAGGUGAUAUUUAGGAGUGGCAGGCCCAGGUGUUAUUUAAGAGUGGCAGGCCCAGGUGUUAUUUAAGAGUGGCAGGCCCAGGUGUUAUUUAAGAGUGGCAGGCCCAGGUGUUAUUUAAGAGUGGCAGGCCCAGGUGUUAUUUAAGAGUGGCAGGCCCAGGUGUUAUUUAAGAGUGGCAGGCCCAGGUGUUAUUUAAGAGUGGCAGGCCCAGGUGUUAUUUAAGAUCGGCAGGCCCAGGUAAUAUUUAGGAGCGGCUAACCCAGGUAAUAUUUAAGAGCGGCAUGCCCAGGUGUUAUUUAAGAGCGGCAGGCCCAGGUGUUAUUUAAGAGCGGCAGGCCCAGGUGAUAUUUAAGAGCGGCAGGCCCAGGUUAUAUUUAGAAGUGGCAGGCCCAGUGAUAUUUAGAAGUGGCUGGCCCAGGUGAUAUUUAGAAUUGGCUGGCCAGGUGUUAUGUAAGAGUGGCAGGCACAGUGCUCUAAUUGAGCUUGAUGUUGGGAGAACUACACUUCACGUCAGCUGAGGUGUGAUUUUGAGCUCAACCUAUGUACAUUUGAAAUAAUCCUGAGUUUUGGUUUCCCCUGAUUGUUUUUCUCCAUAUUCUUUUUACUCUCUAUCCUAAGUUGUUGUGGACUUUUUUUUUUUUUGUCUUUUCGGCGCAAACCUAGUGGGCAUCCAUUGUGGAUAUCUGUUAGAACCCUUUACUAGUGGCUGUACCAACUUUCAGUGGGCCACAUGGUGCCUUUCAGAACCCCUUACUAGUGGCUGUACCAACUUUCAGUGGGCCACAUGGUGCCUUUCAGAACCCCUUACUAGUGGCUUUAACAACUUUCAGUGGGCCACAUGGUGCCUUUCAGAACCCAUUUGAUUUGUUGUCAGCUUUUUUCUUUGUUAGUUCCCUUUUGUGAGUUGCAUUUUGUCUUGCGGGAACAUAACACUUUAUAGUGUUCUUUUAAUUUACAUUUCUGGUGUGCCAUCUUGUUA